AAAUAUCAUUUUCAGCUGGAGACAUAGCAGCCCCUCUGGCCUCCCUGCCUCCUUGGAGUUGGGUGUGACUGUUCUAAAUAUGAGAGAAGUAUGGUCUGGGAAACUUCUGUGAGUCCUUAAGGGGAUAUGGCUUGCCUUCCUUCUUUGCUUUUCCCUUUCUCUGAUGGCUGCAAUGCAGGUAUGGCAGCAAAACUUCUUGGACUAUAGAGGUAAGUGCAAUACUCUAGGGAUGGAUUAGUAACAAUGUGGAAGGAACCUGGGUCCCCACGUGGGGAGCUCCUACCAUGUGAGCCCAGUUUGUAAGAGGAAAAACUUCAAUCCUAUUUAAGCUACUGCUAUUUUGGAUCUUCCUCCUGUAGUUAAAAAUCUUAUCUUUGGUGUAUCAUAUUGGUAAUUGCUAUUUAGAUAUAUAAACAAAUAAAGCUAUAUAUUGAAAGUAGAUUAGAGUGUUUGGCCCUGAAGUCUGGACAAAGGUUUUAGAAUAAAGGAACCAGGCAUGAGGACAAAGGGAGAAGAAAAGGGAGCAAGCAUUUAUUAAACACCUACUGUACACCAAGUGCUAUGUCAGGUGCUUUGCAUAUGACACCUCCUUUAACCCCUGACUUAAGUAUUGUUAUCCUCAUUUUGUAGCUGAGGAAACUGAGACUUAGCAGGAGAGUUUGGUCCCUAACCAGUAAGGGUAGAACUAGAAUUUAGCUGCAGAUCUGACCCCAAAGCCUGGUCUUCUCCCUCUAUGGGGAGGGGGUGGUGUGAGAGUUAUGAAUGUGGUGGAAGUCUGGAGCAAGGACAUCAUGGGAGUUCAGCAGGGUGUCCUAUUUAUAUGAGGGCCUCCUGGGGAAAAUGGUACAAGUGAUUUUUAACUCAAGGAUGGACCUUAGGAUGUUGUACUCCCUCCGCCAGGAGACAGGAAACUUGCUUUAAGUUAGGAGUCAAGGCACCUGGAUGCUGUCCUUAAGUCCUGGUUCGCGUUCAGUGGAGAGGGGACACUUUCAUGUACAAGCCAAGAUGGACAUUUUACCCUCAUUGCUUACACCUGAGGAGAAAAGAACUGAGACACUGCAUUGGAGAUGUCAAUCAUGGAGCCUGCCAGCCCUCAAUGCUUCCUCAGUGGAAUGGCCCUGCUUGCAGUCACUGCCGAGAAGACUUUUCUCUGCAUUUUGUGAGUCUGUUCUCCUCCCCAUUCCUGCCUACCUUAUAACUAUUAUUUGGAAAAGGGUGGGUGCUUGGCCCAAGAUUGGCUUAUAA
rnacentral:lncRNA from 1 species